UGGGUUGAUGAUGACUACUGGUGGCGUAUGAGUCAUCUACAAUGAAUAUGUCUCUGGAACUCUGAGGUGUGU
ensembl:snoRNA